rnacentral:tRNA from 1 species
GUGGCUCAGAGGUUAGAGCAUCUGCCUCCAAUGCAGGAGACCUGGGUUCAAUCCUGC